rnacentral:rRNA from 1 species
AUACGGAGGGUGCAAGCGUUGUCCGGAUUUAUUGGGUUUAAAGGGUGCGUAGGCGGUCAAUUAAGUCAGUGGUGAAAUCCUAUAGCUUAACUAUAGAACUGCCAUUGAUACUGGUUGACUUGAGUACAGACGAGGUAGGCGGAAUUUAUGGUGUAGCGGUGAAAUGCAUAGAUACCAUAAAGAACACCGAUAGCGAAGGCAGCUUACUGGACUGUAACUGACGCUGAGGCACGAAAGCAUGGGUAGCGAACAGGAUUAGAUACCCUAGUAGUCC